rnacentral:rRNA from 1 species
UACAGAGGGUGCGAGCGUUGUCCGGAAUCACUGGGCGUAAAGGGCGCGUAGGCGGCCCGGUAAGGUUGCGGUGAAAGCCCGGGGCUCAACCCCGGGUCGGCCGUGGCAACUGCUGGGCUGGGGCACAGUAGAGGCGGGUGGAAUUCCGGGUGUAGCGGUGGAAUGCGUAGAGAUCCGGAAGAACACCGGUGGCGAAGGCGGCCCGCUGGGCUGUUGCUGACGCUGAGGCGCGACAGCGUGGGGAGCAAACAGG